rnacentral:rRNA from 1 species
UCGAGCGGACUUGAAGAGAAGCUUGCUUCUCUGAUGGUUAGCGGCGGACGGGUGAGUAACACGUAGGCAACCUGCCCUCAAGCUUGGGACAACUACCGGAAACGGUAGCUAAUACCGAAUACUUGCUUCCUUCGCCUGAAGGGAGCUGGAAAGACGGAGCAAUCUGUCACUUGAGGAUGGGCCUGCGGCGCAUUAGCUAGUUGGUGAGGUAACGGCUCACCAAGGCGACGAUGCGUAGCCGACCUGAGAGGGUGAUCGGCCACACUGGGACUGAGACACGGCCCAGACUCCUACGGGAGGCAGCAGUAGGGAAUCUUCCGCAAUGGGCGAAAGCCUGACGGAGCAAUGCCGCGUGAGUGAUGAAGGUUUUCGGAUCGUAAAGCUCUGUUGCCAGGGAAGAACGUCCUUGAGAGUAACUGCUCAAGGAGUGACGGUACCUGAGAAGAAAGCCCCGGCUAACUACGUGCCAGCAGCCGCGGUAAUACGUAGGGGGCAAGCGUUGUCCGGAAUUAUUGGGCGUAAAGCGCGCGCAGGCGGUCAUUUAAGUCUGGUGUUUAAUCCCGGGGCUCAACCCCGGAUCGCACUGGAAACUGGGUGACUUGAGUGCAGAAGAGGAGAGUGGAAUUCCACGUGUAGCGGUGAAAUGCGUAGA